GGGGAUGUAGCUCAGCUGGGAGAGCGCUGCCUUCGCAAGGCAUAGGUCGGGAGUUCGAUCCUCCUCAUCUCCACCA
rnacentral:tRNA from 1 species